AGGGCGUAUGGGGGAUGCCUAGGCUCUUGGAGGCGACGAAAGACGUGGUAAGCUGCGAAAAGCCUCGGGGAUUUGCAAACAAGAUUCGAUCCGAGGAUUUCUGAAUGGGACAACCCGGCAGGCAGAAGGCCUGUCAUCCGGCGACGGAAGCCAACCCUCUGAACUGAAACAUCUUAGUAGGAGGAGGAAAAGAAAGAAACAUCGAUUUCCUAAGUAGCGGCGAGCGAACGGGAAACAGCCUAAACCGAUAUUGUUACGGCAAUGUCGGGGUUGUAGGACUGCAACAAUCAAAUAACCAUGAACUGGAAUGCUCUGGAAAGUGCAUCCACAGAGGGUGAAAGACCCGUACAGGCAAGUGCGUUAGGCGAUAGCAGUAUCCUGAGUAGGGCGGGACACGAGGAAUCCUGUCUGAAUCGGCCGGGACCACCCGGUAAGGCUAAAUACUCCCAAGAGACCGAUAGUGGACCAGUACCGUGAGGGAAAGGUGAAAAGUACCCCGAACAGGGGAGUGAAAUAGAACCUGAAACCAUACGCUUACAACCGGUCGGAGCGGCUUCGUGCCGUGACGGCGUGCCUAUUGAAUAAUGAGCCUACGAGUUACUAAUCACUGGCGAGGUUAAGUGCUGUUAAGCACGGAGCCGAAGCGAAAGCGAGUCUGAACAGGGCGGCCAGUCAGUGGUUGUAGACGCGAAACCUUGCGAUCUACCCUUGAGCAGGAUGAAGGUCGGGUAACACCGACUGGAGGUCCGAACGAAUAAGCGUUGAAAAGCUUCUCGAUGACUUGAGGGUAGGGGUGAAAGGCUAAUCAAGCUGGGAAAUAGCUCGUACUCCCCGAAAUGCCUUUAGGGGCAGCGUUGUAAUAAAGAGUCUACUGGAGGUAGAGCUACUGAUUGGAUGCGGGGGCUUCACCGCCUACCAAAUCCUGACAAACUCCGAAUGCCAGUAGUAUGAUUUACAGCAGUGAGCGACUGGGUGCUAAUGUCCAGUUACGAGAGUGGAACAACACAGACCAGCAACUAAGGUCCCGAAGAAUAUGCUAAGUUGAUCUAACGAUGUUUUGUUGCAGAGACAGCUAGGAUGUUAGCUUGGAAGCAGCUAUUCAUUCAAAGAGUGCGUAACAGCUCACUAGUCGAGAGUCCCUGCGCCGAAAAUGUCCGGGGCUGAAACACAACACCGAAGCCGUGGACUCCGUAAGGAGUGGUAGAGGAGCAUUCUUAAAACCGACGAAGCUGUACCGGUAAGGAGCAGUGGAGGGAUAAGAAGAGAGAAUGCCGGAAUGAGUAGCGAGAGGAAGGUGAGAAUCCUUCCGGCCGAAUAUCUAAGGUUUCCAGAGUAAAGCUGAUCUGCUCUGGGUAAGUCGGGGCCUAAGGCGAGGACGAGAGUCGUAGCCGAUGGACAACAGGUGGAGAUUCCUGUACUGCGGUAUGACAGAACUGUGGGGACACGUAAGGAAAGCGGAAGCCGGGAAUGGAAAGCCCGGUGCAAGCGGGGUACCAGCCACUCUGGCAAAUCCGGGUGGCAAUGGGAAGCCGUGAUGCGGAGCGAAAUACAAGUAGUGAAGUCCGUGAGCCAUGCGUCAAGAAAAGCCGCUAUUGUUUGCAGGAUACCCGUACCGUAAACCGACACAGGUGGAUGAGGAGAGAAUCCUAAGGCCGACGGAAGAAGCAUUGUUAAGGAACUCGGCAAAAUGACCCCGUAACUUCGGGAGAAGGGGUGCCUGCGAGAGCAGGCCGCAGAGAAUAGGCUCAAGCAACUGUUUAGCAAAAACACAGGUCUAUGCGAAACCGAAAGGUGAGGUAUAUGGGCUGACGCCUGCCCGGUGCUGGAAGGUUAAGAGGAGAGGUUAGCGCAAGCGAAGCUUUGAAUUUAAGCCCCAGUAAACGGCGGCCGUAACUAUAACGGUCCUAAGGUAGCGAAAUUCCUUGUCGGGUAAGUUCCGACCCGCACGAAAGGCGUAAUGAUUUGAGCGCUGUCUCGACAAUGCAUCCGGUGAAAUUGAAGUACCAGUGAAGAUGCUGGUUACCUGCGCCAGGACGGAAAGACCCCAUGGAGCUUUACUCCAGUCUGGUACUGGGACUCGGUAUUGCAUGUACAGGAUAGGUGGGAGGCUAGGAGAUGGUAACGCCAGUUGCCAUGGAGCCGCUGUUGGGAUACCACCCUUG
rnacentral:rRNA from 1 species